CUCUUUCUUCUCUUCCUCGUUCACACGGCGCACGAACAGCGGUCUCUCCGGCGAAAUCGGCGAGCCUCGCCGUGAUAAUCACACCACUCCGCCCUCGUCUCGUUCCCGUUCUCACUCUCGGGCUUUGAUUCAACCUUCCUCUCAAAUCUCUCUCUUAUCCGUCCGCGAUGAAGGUUGAAGAGCUUUGAAGGUCCAGGUCGAAAAGCUGCAGUUUGUGAUUCGAUGUCUAUUGCGAAGUUAUGAAGAGUGGAUCCAAGAAGAUUUGAGAAAUGUGAAGAUGAUGAUGGUUGCUGUGAUCUUCUGCGGUGCGAAGAUCGAGAGAGUAUGAUGAGGAGAGGUCGAAGUCCUUGUUACAGGUUUGUUGCGAUUUCUCUUCAAUCUCAAUUUUGUUACCAAUUUCUUCUUGCCGUUUCUGUUGAAGCUUGUUGAAUUUUCGUUGGUUUUCUUGUUGCAGGCUCUAUGGUGAAGGAGUGGUUAUAAAGAAGAUGAAUGGUGUGAGGUGAGGAAGAUUCAGUUUGAAGGCUAUGGAGAAGAUGAGAGAGGCUGAAGGUGAUGAAGAUGGAAGAUUGAAGAUUUUUGGUAGAGAAGUUUAUGGUGUAUGAGAAUGAAUGAAGUUGCAGAGUCGUGAAGAUUAAGAAAUGGAAGUGAAGAAGAGAUUGAAAGAAGUGAAGAUCGUGAAGAGAGGAAGAAAUCAUGGAAGUGAAGUGAAGAUGAAAAUGGUGGCUGGUGAACAAAUGGUCGAGUUGCUGGUUUUUAUAGCUGAAGGUGAAGAAGAGACUUCAAUUGAAGAUUGCGGAUUGGCCUAGCAUGAUGUUUGAAUGAGCUUCCCUUGGCGAUGAUGAAAUCUUGAUAGAGGGAGUGGAAUGAAGGAAGAAAAGACGGUGUUGCUGUCAUGAACAUGGUUAUGGAGGCACUUGAAUUAUCUUGGUGAUUGUGUUUUGAAAUGAACCAACGAUAUAAGUUGAUAUAGUUAGAAUUUAUAAAUAUGGAUGGUUGGAAGGGAUAUGGCUUUACUGGUGUAUGAUGCAAGGACAUUUUAUGAAUUGAAACAAUAUUGCUUUGGCUGUCAAUAUUUGGUUUAUGUAUGGUAUAGGUUAUGAAUGUGGUUUCGGUAGCAAAUGGAGGUGCUAGGAAUGGACUGUUUUGUACUUGAGAGCUAACAGAGCCCAUGGAAGUAAAUUUGGAUAUUUGUGCCUGUACAACGGAGUUUAUAGACCAUAUGCUUAGAAGUACUCAUGUGAUGUAUCAUUUCUUUUUUUCUUCGAAAUUGUAGAAACAGUAGAGUAGGAUUGGGAGUGUUUUUAUGUAGUUUGGUUCUUUGUAAUGGAUAUUGGACUCUUUGAAA